AUUGAACGCUGGCGGCAUGCUUUACACAUGCAAGUCGAACGGUAACAGGCCGCAAGGUGCCGACGAGUGGCGAACGGGUGAGUAAUGCAUCGGAACGUGCCCAGUCGUGGGGGAUAACACAGCGAAAGCUGUGCUAAUACCGCAUACGAUCUAUGGAUGAAAGCGGGGGACCGUAAGGCCUCGCGCGAUUGGAGCGGCCGAUGUCAGAUUAGGUAGUUGGUGGGGUAAAGGCUCACCAAGCCAACGAUCUGUAGCUGGUCUGAGAGGACGACCAGCCACACUGGGACUGAGACACGGCCCAGACUCCUACGGGAGGCAGCAGUGGGGAAUUUUGGACAAUGGGCGCAAGCCUGAUCCAGCAAUGCCGCGUGCAGGAAGAAGGCCUUCGGGUUGUAACUGCUUUUGUACGGAACGAAACGGUCUGGGUUAAUACCCUGGGCUAAUGACGGUACCGUAAGAAUAAGCACCGGCUAACUACGUGCCAGCAGCCGCGGUAACAC
rnacentral:rRNA from 1 species